rnacentral:lncRNA from 1 species
GCUCCUGAGUAUUUGGAGAAUGGAUUAAUCACCCCAAAGCUUGAUGUGUAUGCAUUUGGGAUUCUCAUGCUGGAGAUCCUAACAGGAAAAGAAGUUGCUCUGCUGUAUGAAGGCGUAAACACAGAGUUAUCGGAGAUGCUAAUCCCUGUACUUCAUGAGGAAAAUGGAAAGGAGAAUCUAAGAAACCUAAUGGAUUCUUCGCUACAAGGAAAUUAUCCCUCAUACCUAGCAUUGUUAGUAGUCAAGUUGAUUGAUCAUUGCCUCAAGAAGGAACCAUCACAUCGUCCGAGCAUGGAUGACAUUCUGCAGUCUCUGUCAAGAAUU